AUUGAACGCUGGCGGAAUGCUUUACACAUGCAAGUCGAACGGCAGCACGGACUUCGGUCUGGUGGCGAGUGGCGAACGGGUGAGUAAUACAUCGGAACGCGUCCUGUAAUGGGGGAUAACCUGGCGAAAGCCAGGCUAAUACCGCAUACGUCCUGAGGGAGAAAGCGGGGGAUCGCAAGACCUCGCGUUAUAGGAGCGGCCGAUGUCGGAUUAGCUAGUUGGUGGGGUAAAGGCCUACCAAGGCGACGAUCUGUAGCUGGUCUGAGAGGAUGGCCAGCCACACUGGAACUGAGACACGGUCCAGACUCCUACGGGAGGCAGCAGUGGGGAAUAUUGGACAAUGGGGGCAACCCUGAUCCAGCCAUGCCGCGUGUGUGAAGAAGGCCUCGGUUGUAAGUACGACUUAAGUACGAGGAGGAAGGUU
rnacentral:rRNA from 1 species